UAACCAAUGGGAUUACAUGCAAAAAAUUAAUAUGGUGCAUGUAAUGAAUAAGGGACGCCAAGAGGUGGCACCCCUUGGGAUUUAUGUGGCACCCCUUCAUUCCUUAUAUAAGGGGCAUCCUAUAUGGCAUAAAAAUUAUUCAAAAAUUAUUUUGGAUGUAGGAUUAGAUGAGGAAGAGGUAAAAAAAAUCUGAAGUAAAAAUAGAAAAGAAAAAGAAGAAAAAAAUAGAAAGAAAGAGAGGAGAAAAAGAAAAAUAUGAGAUACUUGUCCUAAAAAUCAGAUUGUUCAUGUAUUGAAUAUAAACUCUGAUAUGUGUGUGGUGAGAUCUUUUGGGAAAGAAUUUUUAGAAAGAUUCUAGUAGAGGUCAUGAAGGUGUACAAGUAAUGGUGCAACCCAUUCUUGCAAAGGAUGAUCGGUAGCGCACUUAGGAAGAAGGCUUGGCACCAUGUCAAAUUGGGAAGGGCCAUGAUCAAUCCCGUGUAGAUCACCAUUGGAGGGCUCUGCUUUGGAGUUUCAUGGAGGUCUCAAAGUUACUAGAUUGUGGUCUUCUCAUUGGUAUAUAACUUUUGCUUUCUUCCUGAUAUGUAUGUUUUUGAUCAUUUGAUUGUAAUCAUCAAGGGG
rnacentral:lncRNA from 1 species